UGAGGAAUUUUGCGCAAUGGGCGAAAGCCUGACGCAGCAACGCCGCGUGGACGAUGAAGGUCUUCGGAUCGUAAAGUCCUGUCGAGUGGGAAGAAAAAUGCUGGGGUGAAUAUCCCCGGCAUUCGACUGUACCACCAGAGGAAGCCCCGGCUAACUCCGUGCCAGCAGCCGCGGUAAUACGGAGGGGGCCAGCGUUGUUCGGAAUUAUUGGGCGUAAAGGGCGCGUAGGCGGCCGGAUAAGUCUGACGUGAAAUCCCUCGGCCUAACCGAGGAACUGCGUUUGAAACUGUUCGGCUCGAGUCCGGGAGAGGGUAGUGGAAUUCCCAGUGUAGCGGUGAAAUGCGUAGAUAUUGGGAGGAACACCGGUGGCGAAGGCGGCUACCUGGACCGGUACUGACGCUGAUGCGCGAAAGCCAGGGGAGCAAACAG
rnacentral:rRNA from 1 species